GGUCGCUUAGCUCAGUUGGUUAGAGCGGUAAGAUUCAUCACUCCACCAGAAGUCGACCAAUGCACAUACUAAUCCGUCUAUCAGUGGUGCUAAUAUCUGUAAUAUGAUAACGCCAAGGUCGCGAGUUCGACCCUCGUAGUGACCA